CAAAGAGGAUUUCAAAAAUUCUCAUCUCCAGGAUCACACCCUGAGCCAAGGCAGAGGCUCAACCACUGAGCCACCGAGGUGUCCCGCAUUUCUUUCAAUCUUUUCAUCAUGUAAGUAUAUACACCUUUUAAAUAAGAUUAUAUUAGAUAUAAAGUUGCAUUCUU
rnacentral:lncRNA from 12 species